GACGAACGCUGGCGGCGUGCUUAACACAUGCAAGUCGUACGGUAAGGCCCUUUCGGGGGUACACGAGUGGCGAACGGGUGAGUAACACGUGAGUAACCUUCCCACAACUUUGGGAUAACGCUAGGAAACUGGUGCUAAUACUGGAUAUGUGCUCCUGCUGCAUGGUGGGGGUUGGAAAGCUCCGGCGGUUGUGGAUGGACUCGCGGCCUAUCAGCUUGUUGGUGGGGUAGUGGCCUACCAAGGCGGCGACGGGUAGCCGGCCUGAGAGGGUGACCGGCCACAUUGGGACUGAGAUACGGCCCAGACUCCUACGGGAGGCAGCAGUGGGGAAUAUUGCACAAUGGGCGCCAGCCUGAUGCAGCAACGCCGCGUGCGGGAUGACGGACUUCGGGUUGUAAACCGCUUUCAGCAGGGACGAAGCUUUUUGUGACGGUACCUGCAGAAGAAGCACCGGCUAACUACGUG
rnacentral:rRNA from 1 species